rnacentral:rRNA from 1 species
UACGAAGGGGGCGAGCGUUGUUCGGAAUUACUGGGCGUAAAGGGCGCGUAGGCGGCGACUCAAGUUAGAUGUGAAAGUCCUGGGCUUAACCUGGGGACUGCAUUUGAUACUGGGUUGCUUGAAUUCGGGAGAGGAUAGCGGAAUUCCCAGUGUAGAGGUGAAAUUCGUAGAUAUUGGGAAGAACACCAGUGGCGAAGGCGGCUCACUGGCCCGUUACCGACGCUCAGGCGCGACAGCGUGGGGAGCAAACAGG